rnacentral:rRNA from 1 species
CCUUUUGUAUAAUGGGUCAGCGACUUAUAUUCUGUAGCAAGGUUAACCGAAUAGGGGAGCCGAAGGGAAACCGAGUCUUAACUGGGCGUUAAGUUGCAGGGUAUAGACCCGAAACCCGGUGAUCUAGCCAUGGGCAGGUUGAAGGUUGGGUAACACUAACUGGAGGACCGAACCGACUAAUGUUGAAAAAUUAGCGGAUGACUUGUGGCUGGGGGUGAAAGGCCAAUCAAACCGGGAGAUAGCUGGUUCUCCCCGAAAGCUAUUUAGGUAGCGCCUCGUGAAUUCAUCUCCGGGGGUAGAGCACUGUUUCGGCAAGGGGGUCAUCCCGACUUACCAACCCGAUGCAAACUGCGAAUACCGGAGAAUGUUAUCACGGGAGACACACGGCGGGUGCUAACGUCCGUCGUGAAGAGGGAAACAACCCAGACCGCCAGCUAAGGUCCCAAAGUCAUGGUUAAGUGGGAAACGAUGUGGGAAGGCCCAGACAGCCAGGAUGUUGGCUUAGAAGCAGCCAUCAUUUAAAGAAAGCGUAAUAGCUCACUGGUCGAGUCGGCCUGCGCGGAAGAUGUAACGGGGCUAAACCAUGCACCGAAGCUGCGGCAGCGACGCUUAUGCGUUGUUGGGUAGGGGAGCGUUCUGUAAGCCUGUGAAGGUGUGCUGUGAGGCAUGCUGGAGGUAUCAGAAGUGCGAAUGCUGACAUAAGUAACGAUAAAGCGGGUGAAAAGCCCGCUCGCCGGAAGACCAAGGGUUCCUGUCCAACGUUAAUCGGGGCAGGGUGAGUCGACCCCUAAGGCGAGGCCGAAAGGCGUAGUCGAUGGGAAACAGGUUAAUAUUCCUGUACUUGGUGUUACUGCGAAGGGGGGACGGAGAAGGCUAUGUUGGCCGGGCGACGGUUGUCCCGGUUUAAGCGUGUAGGCUGGUUUUCCAGGCAAAU